rnacentral:misc_RNA from 1 species
AAUGAACACUGUUUGGUCUGCAAGAGAGGAGUUCAAUGGCAGCUGUGUGCAGAUGUGGUUGCAAACAAUCACGAAUCUGAAAGUAUAUCUGAUGGAGGAUCCAGCUCUUUGGGAGCCAUAUUGGGUGCUUUAUUUGCUUUAAUUAUACUUGGUGCAAUAGUGGCUGGGGUUGUUUAUUAUCUUGUAAGGCGUCGACGCAGGAAUUCUGCCAAGAGGCAGUCCGUUUUGGAAGCACUAAAUGGACUUCCCUCGAGAAAUGUGUUGGACGGAAAUGAACGUCCAUGCAAUACAUAUGUAGAGGACUUCACAACAAAGGCAAACCAGAACAGGCGACUUCCGUUACCCCCUGGCGAAGAUGAAGAAGGAUAUAUGGCGCCUCAAACAAAACCGGACGUGACGUCAAGACUUCUGCAAGAAGAGGAACUGUCCUCAAAUGACAAACCAUCCACCUCUGAGGCAGCAAGAUCCUCGCCCCACCAGGAUGACGUUUACGAGGUUAUUGGCGACGUGGAACACAUAGAGGAGACUUUUGAAUAGAAUUACCGCUGUGUGUGUGUGUGUUAUCGCUUUCUCUUUCAGUGCUUAUAAAGGGCAGCAAGUAUGAAAGAUGAGUUGAAUGCAAAUGUAUUGUUGUAAAUGUAUUACAACUGUGAAUGCAAAUGUAUUGCAACUGAAUUAGAAAAAAAAGUAUGUUAUUAUGCGAUAGACAAUUGCUUCUGCAUCUCUUUUUUAUUGAAUAAACUCAUGUUUCUC